rnacentral:rRNA from 1 species
GACGAACGCUGGCGGCGUGCUUAACACAUGCAAGUCGAGCGGUAAGGCCCUUUCGGGGGUACACGAGCGGCGAACGGGUGAGUAACACGUGGGUGACCUGCCCUCAGCUCUGGGAUAAGCCCGGGAAACUGGGUCUAAUACCGGAUAUGACUCCAUGACGCAUGUUGUGGGGUGGAAAGCCUUGUGCGGCUGAGGAUGGGCCCGCGGCCUAUCAGCUUGUUGGUGGGGUGAUGGCCACCAAGGCGACGACGGGUAGCCGGCCUGAGAGGGCGACCGGCCACACUGGGACUGAGAUACGGCCCAGACUCCUACGGGAGGCAGCAGUGGGGAAUCUUGCGCAAUGGGCGAAAGCCUGACGCAGCGACGCCGCGUGAGGGAUGACGGCCUCGGUGUAAC